UAAAAUAUAAGGAGAGAAAGAGAAAGAGAGAGAAGCUAAGCUGCCAUAAUAUUGUAUGGUAGUUUUGCAGCUAAAGAUUCAAACACAAAGUGAAUAGUAGAGAACCUCUGUAACAACAAAAGAAGAGGAAGAAGAAGAAACUAGUAGUCUUUCUGUGAAUGGAAGGAAUCAUGCAGUUGUAACGAUUGUAUUAGGAGUCUUUCUGUAAUUGGAAGGAAUCAUGCAGUUGUAACCAUUGUUUUGUUUGGUUUUAACUUUUGUUUACCUCACACUGUAGUAUAAUCUUGGGAUUUAGCUGUUUUCAGCAAAUCUUUGGUUUCUUCUGAAGCUGAGCUGUUCUUUUGGUUCUUUUCUUAGUUAAACUCUUCCUCCUCCUCCUUCUUCUCCACUAUCUUCACUCCAAACUUGAGUUGCAAAAAUGAUGUCUGAUGAUGGACUUUCUUUCAUUCAAGAUCCAAACCCUAGUAAUAAUCCAAACCCUAAUUCAAAUCCAUCUUCCAAGAGAAAACGAAACCUACCUGGAAAACCAGGUAAUUCAUUUAGCAAGUUUUAUAUCAAGACUUAUCUUUUCUUGCUUUCCUCAUAAUUGGUUUUCUUUUAAUUUUAUGUUGAACAGAUCCAGAUGCAGAAGUGAUAGCGCUAUCACCCAAGUCACUGAUGGCAACGAAUCGAUUCAUAUGUGAAAUCUGCAAUAAGGGUUUUCAAAGGGACCAGAAUUUGCAGCUCCACAGAAGAGGUCACAACCUACCAUGGAAGCUCAAGCAAAGAAGC
rnacentral:lncRNA from 1 species